GUAACACCAUAGAUCACUAAAGCAAAAAGAAUUUUAAAAUCUAAUUUGCUUUACACAAGGGAUUGGGAAGUCUGGCAGGAUUUGGGGUUCUUCAAGUAUCUUGGGUUAUUUCUCAAAUAUUUUGGGUUCAAUAAAAUCCAAAAUGCGUUUUGCCCUGAGCACUUUCCCCCUUAAUUCUGAAACCCAUGUGUAAUCUAAAGGAAAUGUAAUCCAUAUGUUUCUGAUUCAUUUACACUUAACUCAUCAAAAUAUUUUUCUAGGAGCUAUUUGAUGUUAAAGAAGCAUUUCGAGACUUUUUAAUAAGCUUUUUAAGACCUCCCCUCCCCCACUCCUUUAAAACAGAAGGCCCCAUUUUUGCCAAGGAGAAAUAAGCCCCAAUACCAAAAUAUGUGGGUUCGGUUCCAAAUGCGGAACCACAGCAUUUCAGAUAGGUUCUCAACUUAUCCAGUUAGUUCUUCUUUCCCAUUUUCUGGGUCUGGUUCAACAUGUAAAAUUCAGUAGAGUUGCCCAAGAUGAAAAUGGGACUCCUGUGAUUUGACCACAGGAUGGAGAGGAAGGAUUAAAACGGUGAGCCAACAAGGUUGUGAUGUCAUACAAAAAAAAAAAAAAAUUAAAGGUUACCACCCAGGGGCCAGAGCUGCAGUUCCAGGGGGAAUGAAGGGUCAAGGAAACUAACCUGUUGCAGUUAGAAUCCUGGUCGAGUCCCUAACUCCUAAUGUAAGCAAACAUGUUUUGUUUUGGAAGCCUGGCCCCGUGAAAGUAAAUAUCCUCCAAGGCUUUUUCACACUUUCCCCCAUAUAAACUAAAAUUCCCUGAUGGACUUAUCCCGGUCUCCUUUUAUUAUUUAUUAUUUUUUAUUUUCGCUUUUUAAAGCCGCACCCACAAGACAUAUGGAAGUUCCCAGGCUAGGGGGCGAAUCUGAGCUACCGCUGCCGGCCUACACCACAGCCACAGCAACGCGGGAUCUGAGCCAGCUCUGUGACCUACACCACAGCCUACCAGCUCCUUAACCCAUGAGCAAGGGCAGGGAUCGAACCCACAUCCACAAGGGUACUAGUUGGGUUCAUUUUGGCUGCACCACAGUGGCACCUCCUCUCUGUCACCCAUUGAUCCUACUCCCCAAAUUCUCCAUCACCAUUCUGAGGUUCGAUGUUUAAAACUCUGGAGCUUCAUAGCCUGGCCUUCCAUGCUCACCACAAUUCUGGCCCAAGGUGAUCUUGGCCUUACUGCCCACUCCCUGGGUCUCCACCACGGACCAUGACCUCGAGAUCAUCCAGUCUUGGUACUGUUUCUUCCUUAGAUGUUGAACUUGGCUGCAUUUGCUCAGGCCAUGUUCAUUGUCUUUGGCUUCACCGUAUUCAUGGAUGGAUCCCCACAGGCAGAUGUGUUGCUUCUUUUAACUGCAAACGUUUAGACCUCAGUUUCUCACCUGAGGCAUCCCUGACGUUUUGAAUCAGAUCAUUCUUUUUUUUUCAUCUGGGCACCCCUGUUCUCUGUCCUGUGCACUUUAAGUUUUGGCAUCCCUGCUCUCCACCCACUCGAUUUCAGUAACACUCCCUUGGUCAUGGACAUCAAAGUGCCUCCAGGUAGUGCCAGAUAUCCUGGGGGAGGGCAGCAGAGAAUCACUAGAAUAUUGUUGGUACCAUACCUAUGGGCAGCCGCAGAUUACCUGAGGUUGGAUGGAUAGAUGGAUGGAUGGAUGGAUGGAUGGACGGAUGGGUGGAUGGAUGCAUAGAUAGAUAGAUAGAUAGAUAGAUAGAUAGAUAGAUAGAUAAUGAUUGGUUUGUAUUUUAAGCUUCUAUCAAACUCAACUUCAUACCCAGACUAUUGCAUCCUUCAGUGAUUUGUAUAAUCUUGGUUAUACAUAUUCACUACAUAUUUGUUGAAUAAAAGAACAUAACCUUAACCUCCAGACCUAACUAGCAACUCACUUCUUCUAGAAAGAUCCAGGAUGUGCCCCUGCUGGUGCAAAACUCCUCUCCAUUGCCCUGCUUUGCAGUCAUUGUCUUAAACCAGACCCCUGCAGGCUUUGGUUAUCCUGUAAUAAUCGCUGCCUGUUCUUUUGUGGUAGGGGCUUUGCUACUGAACCACAGCUUGAGUCCACCUGCCUUCUGGCGGUAAAGCCCAUCCACUGACACUGAGUUGUGGGGAAGGAAAGGGCAGUGUUUGUUUUAAGGCGCCAUACAAAGAGUCCAGGACAGCUAAUGCUGAAAAAGCCCAAACUCCUCAAUGGGUUUCAGGGAAGAAUUUUUAUACUCAAAAUUGGGGAAGGGGAAGGCUGCAGGUAACCCUCCCCUGAUUGGCUGGUGGUGAGGUAACAGGGUGUUCAGUGGUCUUGGUCAUCAGCAUUCUGGUUCUAACCAGCCUGCCUUCUACAGGCUUGUGCUCAACCUAAAAUUACCAUCCUUCACCCAGGGGGGGACUCGAUUUCCUGUAGAAGAACUCAGACCUCGUGUCAAAUGGUUAUGCAUAUCCCCUCCCACCCCCCAGGAGAAACCAGGACCAGUGCUGUACUACCGUUUCUUUCUGCCUUUCCUCCCUCUUCUAACUACCAACUCUUUGAAUCUGCCCUUUGGAACUCAGAGAAGGACUUGAAGGCUGAAAACCUCUUACCUCCAAACAAGAAUCGGGGGACACAGAAAGGCCCUGGUACUCAGGAGGGCUCCACAAGGCCCUGCAAGGGUUCAGCAUUUCUACUUUAAGGGGAAGAUGCAGAUACAGCCUUAUCCUUUGGGAAGUUAAAAUCCAAAUGAUUUGGAAAAGACCUAUGCCAAUAUGUGGCUGAGAGAGAGUAAGAGAGAUGCCAUUAGUAGGGGUGACAGAUUCAGCAAUGUAGGAUGUCGUUAAUUUUGAAUUUCAGAUAAAAACUAAACCCUUUUAUUAGUAUGACUCCUGCAAUAUUAGGACAAACUUGUACUAAAAUUAUGUUCAUUGUUGAUCUGAAAUUCAAAUUUAACUGAGUGUCUUGUGUUUUAUUUGACAGCCCUAGCUCUCAAUGUAGAAAUUGUCCAAGAAGGACAGAAAUAAGAACAUUAAAAUAUAGGCACAGAGAAAGACAUAAUUUGCCUAUAGACAUCUGAGAUGGCUCAGAUUUUAGAGGAGGGUUUAUAACAGGGGCUAACAUAAAUAUAAUUGCUUGUAGAGGAUGAAGCCAGAUAAUACAAGUGCUUGAAACCAGGCAGAUAAAUAUACAUUUGAAGGGGAAAAAUACAGCAGUCCCCUGAAAAGUGCCUUUUCUCAUCUCCUGUUCUGUUUUCUCUUAUGUUCUUUUCCCUGUGUAAAUGGCCACCCCAUGGCCUCCUGCCACCUUGCCCACAUCGCCAUGUCCUCUAUUGGCAGGUGUUCAUUAUCUGUCAGUUUGCCCCUUUUGAUGAUUGGUCUGUCAUUGCUAUUAUAACUUUGUCCACUUUUGAAUUUCCCAGUUUUAGAAACUAAAACAGGCAAACAUCUUUUUCUUUUUCUUCUUUCUUUCUUUCUUUCUUCCUUUUUUUUUUUUUUUUUUUUGGCUUUUUAGGGCCACACUUGCGUCAUAUGGAGUGUGGCCAAGCUAGGGGUUGAAUCAGAGCUGCAGCUGCCGGCCUACACCAUAGCUGCAGCAAUGUGGGAUCCCAGCCAUGUCUGCUCUGCGACCUGUAUACACCACAGCUCACGGCAAGGGGUCCUUAAUCCACUAAGCAAGGCCAGGGAUUGAACCUGCAUUAUCAUAGAUAUUAGUCAGGUUUGUUAACUUUUUUUUUUUUUUACUCAAUGAAUUUAUUACAUUUGUAGUUGUACAAUGAUCAUCACAAUCCAAUUUUAUAGGAUUUCCAUCCCACAACCCUAGGGCAUCCCCCCACCCCUCAAACUGUCUCCUUUGGAGACCAUAAGUUUUUCAAAGUCUGUGAGUCAGUAUCUUUUCUGCAAAGAAGUUCAUUCUGUCCUUUUUUCAGGUUCCAUAGUCAGUGAAAGCAUUUGACAUUAGUGUCUCAUUGUCUGACUGACUUCACUUAGCAUGAUAAUUUCUGGGUCCAUCCAUGUUGCUAUAAAUGCCGGUAUUUCAUUCCUUUUAAUGGCUGAGUAAUAUUCCAUUGUGUAUAUAUACCAUGUGUUAACUUCUGAGCCACAAAGGGAACUCCCCAGCAAACAUCUUUUCCCUGCUUCAAGGGUUGUUGCCAUUCAUCCUCCGUGGAUAGAGUCUGCACUUUUGAACCUGCUCUUGAAGAUGUUGAUCAGUUUCACCUGGUUUCUGCACCCUUUUCUCAUGCGCUGCAGCAUCUCUCUUCUUCCAUAAUAAAGUGUGUCUUCACACUCCCUCUCUGUCCUCACUCCUUCAUGCAGCAUUUUUUUGCAGGUUAGGAAUAGCUUUCUCUCUCUCCCUCUGAAGCCUAGAUCCAUCCUUACUUCAGGAAUCAGUCCCAGCUUUGCAAAGCAAAGGCUUUGCUGAUUAGUCAAAAGAGCUCUAAUGCUCCAUGUUCUGAAUUCUCUUGGCAACGCCAGUUUGAAGCAGUACUCCCAACUGUUUGCUUAUAUCCUCCUAUAACAUUUCUUCCUUGUUUCCUGGGCAUACUCUUCAUCUUUUUAACUGUAAUAUUCUUAGCCACAAAGAGAGCUUAUAAAAAUAUUUUUAUAUCUCUCAUGGUGCCUGCCAUGCUUCUGGGCAUACAGCAAAUGCUCAAGAAAUACUUUUUGGCUUUAAUCGAAUUAGCAUCCAGGGAAAACAAUUUAGAAAAUAGUAUAUAAUUCAUAUCAAAUGUUUGAAAGUUUCUUACAGAAAUUUGUAGGAAAACCUGUGUCAAAGAUUAACCCUUUUGACUGAGAGCUUUCUUGCAAGUCAAAACAUAAAGAAAUAUCUAUGGAGGUUUUUGUGGGCUAUGAUUUUUAAGGGUCAUGGUUCCAUUACGCUCGGCUCUAGCAACUCAAAUGAUCAUCACAAUCCAUUACUGUCUUGAGAACCACAUGUAUUGUGGACAUUGUGUCAAGCAGUUUUCAAUUUAUCAUUGCAUUUUUAAUCCACAUGUGUGCUUAGAUACUGUAGUUUUGUCUUUUUUUUUCCUUUUUCUUCUAAAUAAGAAAAUUGAGGAUGAGGAAGGUAAACUCAGUUGACCAGAGGCCCACGACUGAGAAGCAGUUGCAGUGGCAUUUAAACUGAGGUUGGUCUGAUUCCAAAACCUACACUCUUUGCCACCACGCCCUUUUGUUUUUCUAACAUGAAUGGGCAGGGGAAAGUGAAAAGCACCCCCUGCCUCUUGUCUCUUAUUUUCUCCAAGGCCGGUGGGAGAGUCAGGAGGGCAAGAGUUCUUCCGCAAGAAUUUCUCAUCAGUAAUUUUCUAUAAAUCUAGGCCUGACAUUUUUUCUUUAUCUCCUUCUGCUUUUCAACAAGGUUUUGGUGUAGGACCUAUUAAUUCCAUUAAUUUCCUUCUCGUCUCCAUUGCUUUUCUUGUUGUUGUUUCCAUUUUCCUUGCUCUGGCUUAACGUAUGACAGUACCCUCCUAACUGGUCUGGCCACUUUAAAUCCCUUCCUCUUCAAUAUAUCAACAUAGUCUAUUAAAAAUUAUCACAUGCAGAUGAUUUUUAGCUUGAUAGGCCUGUUGUUAAAAGGAAAAAAACAGAUUUCAGUGACUUCUGAUGAAAACUGGUAAAAAACCAAGAUCUCAUUUGAUCAGAUUUCUUUAGGUUUCUGUAUGAGCCAUCUCCUAAUAGAACACAUUUUUUGAGGGUAGUGUUCCUAUUUGAUUACUUUUCAUGUUUAGUUUCUCAGAGCAUUUAGUUCACUUAGUACAUCCUUAAUAAAUACUUAGCAAGCUAUGCUCGCUAUACAAGCAGUGCUUGCAAGAGCAGUAUUGAAAAGUCUAGGAUUAAUUUUGAGGUUGGAAUAAUACUGCCUCCUGGUAACUAAGCUACACUUCAGACUGCUGAUAAUAGAAGCCUGUGGUCCAGUUAGGAAAGAACUUUUUCAUCAAGGUCAUUCUUAAUUUUCCGUUUGUUUUAAAACGAAUCUGUCUGAGGUUCACGAAGAGGCUCAGGGAAUCAAGAUAACCGAUGAGUCUUCAGAAAACCUGGUGAAAAUGAUAGAUUAGAGGGCCUGUCUUCAUAUCCGCUUGCUUUUUCCUGAUGGUUUUCCCACCGUUAUGGCGACUCUCUCUAAAUAAGGAAAAGAAUUAACCCUGAAAAAGAAGAUUAUUGAUCUUUUGGAAAUUCCCAAUUUUAAGGGAAAUUCAAAGGAAAAAUGUGUAACGUAAGGGUUUGGUGACAUCACAGCAGGAAGAUAAUUUCACCGACAUGCUUGCUCUUGCAAGGAAUGAAACUAUUCAGUGACAGGGCACAGUUCUUCCGUGAUUACAAGCAGUGACAUUUGGUAUUCCAUUUAGCCCCCAAAUAAAAUUCAAAUUUUGCAACACUUCAUCUAGCAGAAUAUUAAUCCCCUGAGACUGGAAAGGAGAGCCAGUGUGAACAAAGCCUUACAGGGUGGAUCAAGUCAAAAACACACGUACACCCAUAUACAUACACACGUCUGUGCACACACAUGUGAGAGGAAACAGGUUUGAAAGGUUAUAGAAGUCCCCAGUCCUAUGCGUAUAAGUUUAUCUGGUUUUUUGGCCACUGUCCCACUAAGCUCAGAAUAGAGCGGGCCAUGUUGUGACGAAUAAUUAUUUCAUCGAAUAAUUGCUCCAUGCCUCCAACACCAGCCCUUUAAGAACCAAGCUAGGGAAAAAAGACCAGCAAAUAUGUAAAUUGGAACUGAUUAGGGGAUGAAGUUUCACUAAAAAAAAAAAAAAAAAAAAAAAA
rnacentral:lncRNA from 1 species